CCUGGUGGCUCAGACGGUAAAGCGUCUGCCUGCAAUGCAGGAGACCUGGGUUCAAUUCCUGGGUCAGGA
rnacentral:tRNA from 1 species